rnacentral:misc_RNA from 1 species
GGGUGGUUUUGUUGCUAGAGCUGCGAUUGUCCACCCAGAUUUAAGGAAAUCUGCUGUUGAAACUGUUCUGACACUUUCGUCUCCACACCAGUCGCCUCCUCUGGCUCUGCAGCCAUCACUUGGUCAGUAUUAUGCACGAGUAAAUCACGAAUGGAGGAAAGGAUACGAGGUCCAAACUUCUCGUUCAGGGCAUCAUCUGUCUGAUCCACUACUCUCUCAUGUUGUUGUUGUCUCCAUUUCUGGUGGUUAUCAUGAUUACCAGGUCCGAUCAAAUUUACAAUCACUUGAUGGUAUUGUGCCUCCUACCCAUGGCUUUAUGAUUAGUAGCACAAGCAUGAAAAAUGUGUGGUUGUCAAUGGAGCACCAGGUUAUCUUGUGGUGUAAUCAGCUUGUUGUCCAAGUAUCACAUACUCUUCUUAGUCUGGUAGACCAGGGGACUGGACAACCUAUAUCUGAUGUUCGAAAAAGGCUGGCAAUCUUCACAAAAAUGCUUCAUAGUGGGAUACCUCCAAAUUUUAAUUGGUUAAAGCAGUCACAGCUGCCUCAUAUACCAAUUGAAGAUGGAGAAGCUAAAUCUGGAUCUCAAGCACAUAGAGUGUAUUCUUGCCCUAAUAACAUCCAUUGGAGUGAUGAUGCACUUGAAAGAGAUUUAUACAUCGAGACAACCA